rnacentral:lncRNA from 1 species
CCUAAUUCUUUUCUGGGUGCUUCUCAUGUUUUGUUUUUUUAUCGUAGUUUCUAAGUUAUUUAGAUUGCAUAAUCUGGCUGCGGAUCAUGACUGGGGACCAUUGGGUUGAUCAGUGAAGACAGGAAAGAUAUUGCUGAAUUGUGUCAGAGCACUAGCUUUGGACCACGUAGUUCGAAUCACAUCUGCACACCAUUCUGGAUUAGGUUAAAACAUUUUGUUCUUUUACUUGCACAUAUUCCAGAGCUAACCAUUGUUAAUGAUCUGUGUACCAACCAGGACCUAUGGUCCUUCAAUCUGAGGGCUUAAGUUUGCUGCAUCUAAAGGAAGUUACAUGUGCACAAAGUACCACAAAAUAGCUGACAUGCGGCAAAUCAUCGCCUGUGACUUUAUGAUUUGUAUUUCUCUGCGCUCCACUUUGACACCGCCAAUCGCAAGCGUAACAAAAAGAAGAAAAAGGAGAAACAUGAGGAAAGUGGCAGGCUUCUUGGAAUACUUAGAUCCUCGUUUCCAGAAGAAAAGCCGGGAGAAGAAGGAAGAAUCCCAUCCUCCAGAUGGCUCUUCUGAGAGCAAUGCAGAAGUGAGGGCAGUAACCAACCUUACAAAGAAGGGAAGCCUUCCAGUGCAGGUGAAAGCAAGAAAUACAGCUCCAUCGCAUCCAGCGAGUAUAUUAAAGGUUUAAGAAUACAGAGAAAUGCGCCGAUGGAAGCCAU